GUCUAUAUGAAGUUACAUAAAGUCUAACCUGCCCAUUGAAAAUAUUUAAAAGGCCGCAGUAUAUUAACUGUGCAAAGGUAGCAUAAUAAUUAGUUUUUUAAUUGAAGGCUUGUAUGAAUGGUUGGACAAAGAAGAGUCUGUUUUUAUUUUUAUUUUUGAAUUUAACAUUUAAGUGAAAAGGCUUAAAUAUUUUUAAGGGACGAUAAGACCCUAUAAAUCUUUAUAUUAUAUCAAAUUUUUAUUAAUUAAUAAGUAUAUAAAAUAAAAAAGUGGUGUAUAUUGUGUUGGGGUGAUAAGAAUAUAAUAAUUAACUGUUCUAGUAUAAAAACAAAAUUAUCUGAUAAUAAUUAAUAGAUCCUUUUUUAAGAUUAAAAGUUUAAGUUACUUUAGGGAUAACAGCGUUAUUUUUUUUAAGAGUUCUUAUCGAAAAAAAAGUUUGCGACCUCGAUGUUGAAUUAAAAAUUUCUUUAUGGUGUAGCUGCUAUAAUAUGAAAGUCUGUUCGACUUUU
rnacentral:rRNA from 1 species